GUCCCACCCAGUUCUCUUUCUCAGAGGUGCCUCCAAAUAAUAUCGUUCCCCAGAGCCUGUUCCCAACAAUCAGAAAGGCAGACAACAAUCAGAAGGGCAA